UACAGAGGUCUCGAGCGUUGUUCGGAUUCAUUGGGCGUAAAGGGUGCGUAGGCGGCGUGGCAAGUCUGAUGUGAAAUCCCUGGGCUCAACCCGGGAACUGCAUUGGAUACUGCCAUGCUAGAGUACUGGAGAGGAGACUGGAAUUUACGGUGUAGCAGUGAAAUGCGUAGAGAUCGUAAGGAAGACCAGUGGCGAAGGCGAGUCUCUGGACAGUUACUGACGCUGAGGCACGAAGGCCAGGGGAGCAAACGGG
rnacentral:rRNA from 1 species